rnacentral:rRNA from 1 species
AGCGAACGCUGGCGGCAGGCCUAACACAUGCAAGUCGAACGAACCUUUCGGGGUUAGUGGCGGACGGGUGAGUAACACGUGGGAACGUGCCUUUAGGUUCGGAAUAACUCAGGGAAACUUGUGCUAAUACCGAAUGUGCCCUUCGGGGGAAAGAUUAAUCGCCUUUAGAGCGGCCCGCGUCUGAUUAGCUAGUUGGUUGAGGUAAUGGCUCACCAAGGCGACGAUCAGUAGCUGGUCUGAGAGGAUGAUCAGCCACAUUGGGACUGAGACACGGCCCAAACUCCUACGGGAGGCAGCAGUGGGGAAUCUUGCGCAAUGGGCGAAAGCCUGACGCAGCCAUGCCGCGUGAAUGAUGAAGGUCUUAGGAUUGUAAAAUUCUUUCAACGGGGACGAUAAUGACGGUACCCGGAGAAGAAGCCCCGGCUAACUUCGUG